rnacentral:rRNA from 1 species
GCUAAUACUGGAUAAUAUUUUGAACCGCAUGGUUCAAAAGUGAAAGACGGUCUUGCUGUCACUUAUAGAUGGAUCCGCGCUGCAUUAGCUAGUUGGUAAGGUAACGGCUUACCAAGGCAACGAUGCAUAGCCGACCUGAGAGGGUGAUCGGCCACACUGGAACUGAGACGCGGUCCAG